CACCAUUAUCAGAAUCACAUGGAACUCCGAACAUCUCCAUGCAGCAUGUCUACUUCCAAUGAGGAUGCUAUGUGGACAAAAAUCCUGCACAAGUUUGAAAAGAGGAAAGUGCUGAGAGAGUCAAUUCAUUAAUCCCAUGGGCAAAGUUUUACAUUCAAAAGAAUCUGCUCCACUGCAGUCAGUAUAUACUCCUCUUGUAAGCAGAUCCCCUCAUUCUAUGUACCAACUUGCAAAAAUUCAUUAGUAGCCAGCACAAUACUAAAUAUAUAGUGAAGCAUUUUCCUGCUCCUUAGUCAAGCAGUAACUGGUUUUGUUACCCAUUUGACACAUAUUCCAA
rnacentral:lncRNA from 1 species